rnacentral:sRNA from 1 species
AAACUGUAUUUUCUCUAAGGUGUAAACAUUACUUCUGUGAGAAAUGUGCCUUGGGCCAUUAUAAAAAGUCCAAGAGAUGUUUUGUGUGUGGUGAACCUACAGGAGGAAUAUUUAAUCCUGCCAAAGAUGUCAUUGCCAAAAUGGAAAAAGUGAAACAAAAUGAAAUGCUAAUUCCAGAUGAUGAGAGAGAUGAGUCAGAAGACUUUGUUCCUAUUUCUUGAUAACAGUUAUAACAAGUUGUAUGUUGUUGUUUUUGUACAUUUUAAAUGCAAUGUAGGUAAAAAUAAAAAUGCAAAUAAAUGAUUCAAUUU